rnacentral:siRNA from 1 species
CACCAUGAUCUUGUCAGGAUAC